rnacentral:rRNA from 1 species
UACUAGAGACCGGCGCACGGGUGCGUAACGCGUAUGCAACCUACCUUUUACAGAGGGAUAGCCCAGAGAAAUUUGGAUUAAUACCUCAUGGUAUAAUUGAAUCGCAUGGUUUAAUUAUUAAAGUUCCAACGGUAAAAGAUGGGCAUGCGUCCUAUUAGCUAGAUGGUAAGGUAACGGCUUACCAUGGCUACGAUAGGUAGGGGUCCUGAGAGGGAGAUCCCCCACACUGGUACUGAGACACGGACCAGACUCCUACGGGAGGCAGCAGUGAGGAAUAUUGGACAAUGGGCGCAAGCCUGAUCCAGCCAUGCCGCGUGCAGGAAGACGCAUCUAUGGUGCGUAAACUGCUUUUGUACGGGAAGAAACACUCCCUCGUGAGGGAGCUUGACGGUACCGUAAGAAUAAGGAUCGGCUAACUCCGUGCCAGCAGCCGCGGUAAUACGGAGGAUCCAAGCGUUAUCCGGAAUCAUUGGGUUUAAAGGGUCCGUAGGCGGUUUGGUAAGUCAGU